rnacentral:rRNA from 1 species
CGCGUGGAUAAUCUAUCCUUGAAUCGGGGAUAACGUUGCGAAAGCGACGCUAAUACCGGAUGACAUCGUAAGAACUUCGGUUUUAACGAUCAAAGAUGACCUCUACCUGUAAGUUGUCGUUUGAGGAGGAGUCCGCGUACCAUUAGCUUGUUGGUAGGGUAACGGCCUACCAAGGCCACGAUGGUUAGCUGGUCUGAGAGGAUGAUCAGCCACACUGGAACUGACACACGGUCCAG